UACGUAGGGUCCGAGCGUUGUCCGGAAUUACUGGGCGUAAAGAGCUCGUAGGCGGUCUGUCGCGUCGGCUGUGAAAACCCGAGGCUCAACCUCGGGCCUGCAGUCGAUACGGGCAGACUAGAGUGUGGUAGGGGAGACUGGAAUUCCUGGUGUAGCGGUGAAAUGCGCAGAUAUCAGGAGGAACACCGGCGGCGAAGGCGGGUCUCUGGGCCAUAACUGACGCUGAGGAGCGAAAGCGUGGGGAGCGAACAGG
rnacentral:rRNA from 1 species